CCUACGGGAGGCAGCAGUGAGGAAUAUUGGUCAAUGGGCUUACGCCUGAACCAGCCAAGUCGCGUGAGGGAAGACUGCCCUAUGGGUUGUAAACCUCUUUUGUCAGGGAGCAACGCCGGCUACGUGUAGCCGGACUGAGAGUACCUGAAGAAAAAGCAUCGGCUAACUCCGUCCCAGCAGCCGGGGUAAUACGGAGGAUGCGAGGGUUACCCGGUUUUAUUUGGUUUAAAGGGUGAGUAGGCGUCAUGCCAAGUCAGCGGUAAAAUCGCGGGGCUCAACCGCGCUCCGCCGUUGAAACUGGCAGUCUUGAGUGGGAGAGAGGUAUGCGGAAUGCGUGGUGUAGCGGUGAAAUGCAUAGAUAUCACGCAGAACUCCGAUUGCGAAGGCAGCAUACCGGCGCCCAACUGACGCUGAAGCACGAAAGCGUGGGUAUCGAACAGGAUUAGAUACCCGUGUAGUC
rnacentral:rRNA from 1 species